AGAAGCUGGUGUCACUUUAAAAUUGGUGAACAGGUUUCAUGUAAUGGUGGGAAUGAAAGUAAUGGAACGGUAUCAAAUCGAUGUGUGCAAAUACAGUAAAACGGAAAACACAUUGAUACCUUUCCAUUUGUUCAAUUUCAGCCAAUGGGCUCGUCCUCUGAUUUCUUCCUCCAGCAGCCUCCACUACUGCAGCAUACUGGGGCUGGGGCAGGGCUUCCUGGGACUGUAUAUAGUCUAGGACUAUAAUUAUUAUUAUUAUAGUAGGAGACUGGUCUAUGGGUAAUAUAAUAUAGUUAUUAUUAUAGUAGGAGACUGGUCUAUGGGUAAUAUAAUAUAGUUAUUAUUAUAGUAGGAGACUGGUCUAUGGGUAAUAUAAUAUAGUUAUUAUUAUAGUAGGGGACUGGUCUAUGGGUAAUAUAAUAUAGUUAUUAUUAUAGUAGGGGACUGGUCUAUGGGUAAUAUAAUAUAGUUAUUAUUAUAGUAGGAGACUGGUCUAUGGGUAAUAUAAUAUAGUUAUUAUUAUAGUAAGAGACUGGUCUAUGGGUAAUAUAAUAUAGUUAUUAUUAUAGUAGGAGACUGGUCUAUGGGUAAUAUAAUAGUUAUUAUUAUAGUAGGGGACUGGUCUAUGGGUAAUAUAAUAUAGUUAUUAUUAUAGUAGGAGACUGGUCUAUGGGUAAUAUAAUAUAGUUAUUAUUAUAGUAGGAGACUGGUCUAAAGGUCUAUGGGUAAUAUAAUAUAGUUAUUAUUAUAGUAGGAGACUGGUCUAUGGGUAAUAUAAUAUAGUUAUUAUUAUAGUAGGAGACUGGUCUAUGGGUAAUAUAAUAUAGUUAUUAUUAUAGUAGGAGACUGGUCUAAAGGUCUAUGGGUAAUAUAAUAUUGCACAAGUACGCUUUUAGUCAUGUAGUCUGUGGACACCAGCUGGUCCAACAUCUCAUUCCAAAAUCAUGGGCAUUAAUAUUGAGUUGGUCCCCACCCUUUGCUGCUAUAACAGCCUGUACUGUUCUGGGAAGCCAUUAAUAUUGAGUUGGACCCCCUUUGCUGCUAUAACAGCCUGUACUGUUCUGGGAAGCCAUUAAUAUGGAGUUGGACCCCCCUUUGCUGCUAUAACAGCAUCCACUCUUCUGGGAAGCCAUUAAUAUGGAGUUGGACCCCCGCUUUGCUGCUAUAACAGCAUCCACUCUUCUGGGAAUUGCUUUCCACUAGAUGUAGGAACAUUGCUGCUAUAAUUUUUAUUUUAUUUCACCUUUAUUUAACCAGGUAGGCAUGUUGAGAACAAGUUCUCAUUUACAAUUGCGACCUGGCCAAGUUAAAGCAAAGCAGUUCGACAGAUACAACGACACAGAGUUACUAAGUUACUAUUAAAAAUGAUAGCCUCCACUCUUCUGGGAAGGCUUUCCACUAGAUGUUGGAACAUUGCUGCUAUAACAGCCUCCACUCUUCUGGGAAGGCUUUCCACUAGAUGUUGGAACAUUGCUGCUAUAACAGCCUCCACUCUUCUGGGAAGGCUUUCCACUAGAUGUUGGAACAUUGCUGCUAUAACAGCCUCCACUCUUCAGGGAAGGCUUUCCACUAGAUGUUGGAACAUUGCUGCAGGGACUUGCUUCCAUUCAGCCACAAGAGCAUUAGUGAGGUCGGGCACUGAUGUUGGGCGAUUAGGCCUGGCUUGCAGUCGGCGUUCCAAUUCAUCCUAAAGGUUUUCGACUGGGUUCUUUCACACCGAUCUCGACAAACCAUUUCUGUAUGGACCUUGCUUUGUGCACGGGGGCAUUGUCAUGCUGAAACAGGAAAGGACCUUCUCCAACCUGUUGCCACGAAGUUGGAAGCACAGAAUUGUCUAGAAUGUCAUUGUAUGUUGUAGCAUUAACAUUUCCCUUCACUGGAACUAAGGGGCCCAGCCUGAACCUCCUCCCAACAAACUUUACAGUUGACUCUAUGCAUUCCAGCAGGUAAUGUUCUCCUGGCAUCCGCUGAACCCAGAUUCAUCUGUCGGGCUGCCAGAUGGUGAAGCGUGAUUCAUUACUCCAGAGAACACAUUUCCACUGCUCUCAUGGCAGCGAGCUUUACACCACUGAAGCCGACGCUGGCAUUACGCAUGGUGAUCUUAGGCUUGUGUGCGGCUGCUCAGCCAUGGUAACCCAUUUCAUGAAGUUCCCGACAAACAGUUCUUAUGCUGACGUUGCUUCCAGAGGCAGUUUCUAACUCGGUAGUGAGUCUGGCAACUGAGGACAGACGAGUUUUAUGUGCUACGCACUUCAUCACUGGGCGGUCCCGUUCUGUGAGCUUGUGUGGUCUACCACUUUGCUGCUGAGCCGUUGUUGCUCCUUGACGUUUUUACUUCACAAUAACAACAUUUACGUUUUGACCGGGGCAGCUCUAUUAGGGCAGAAAUAUGAUGAACUGAUUUGUUGGAAAAGUGACACCCUAUUACGGUGCCACGUUGAAAGUCACUGAACUCUUCAGUAAGGCCAUUCUACUGCCAAUGUUUGUCUAUGGAGAUUGCAUGGCCGUGUGCUCGAUAUUAUACACCUGUCAGCAAUGGGUGUGGCUGAAAUAGUAUGUAUGUGUGUGUGUGUCUCAUGACGUUUUGUUGUCGUGCCAUGUUGUUGUGUUGUGAUGUGGUGUUGUUGUAUUGUGUUGUGUUGUGGUGUGGUGUUGUGUUGUUGUGUUGUUGUGAUGUAUUGUGUUGUGUUGUGUUGUGGUGUUGUGUUGUUGUGGUGUUGUGUUGUGUUGUUGUGAUGUGUUGUGGUGUUGUGUUGUGUUGUGUUGUGGUGUGUUGUGUUGUGUUGUUGUGAUGUGUUGUGUUGUGGUGUUGUGUUGUGGUGAUGUGUUGUGUUGUGGUGUUGUGUUGUGGUGAUGUGUUGUGUUGUGGUGUUGUGUUGUGUUGUGUUGUGGUGUUGUGUUGUGUUGUUGUGUUGUGGUGUUGUGUUGUGGUGGUGUGUUGUGUUGUGUUGUGGUGGUGUUGUUGUGAUGUGUUGUGUUGUUGUAUUGUGUUGUGCUGUGUUGGUGUGUUCUGUUGUGUUGUUGUGUUGUGUUGUGUUGUGUUGUGUUGUGGUGGUGUUGUGUUGUGUUGUGUUGUGGUGGUGUUGUGUUGUGUUGUGUUGUGUUGUGUUGUGGUUGUGUUGUGGUGGUAUUGUGUUGUGGUGUUGUGUUGUGUUGUGGUGGUGUUGUUGUCAUGUGAUGUGAUGUGUUGGUGGUGUUGUGUUGUUGUGUUGUGAUGUGUGGUGGUGUUGUUGUGUUGUGAUGUGUUGUGUUGUUGUGGGCAGGUGCAGUAUGUACUAUCCUAUGUACUUUACCUCCACAGGUACAGAGCAGCAGAAGAAACUGGUGAUUGGUGGAGAGGUGUGCAUGUGGGGAGAGUAUGUUGAUGCUACCAACCUCUCUCCUCGUCUCUGGCCGAGGGCGAGUGCUGCUGGAGAGCGAUUGUGGAGUGAUGAGAGGAUGACCUCCAGUGUGAUCGACGCCUUCCCUCGCCUCGUGGACUUCCGCUGCAGGCUACUGAGGCGCGGUAUCCAGGCAGAGCCUCUGUUUGUGGGUCACUGCAGACAUGAGUAUCAGGGUAUCUGAAACAUGGCUGGUUGUGUGUCACCAGUCAGGGCUUUAAAUGGACUUUUCUUCAUUGGUACCACAGAAAGUCAGGAGCACAAGACAGAAUUUUGGAGCACCAGAUUAUAUAUAUUUUUUUUACUGUGGUAAUGAAUAACAGUUUUGCAGUUGUAUUUUUUAAAUAUAAUAAGGGUUGUUUUUAAUCACCUGUAUAAUUAUGUUUGCUGUUGCACUUUUGAAUAAAAUCAAUGUUUUGUUUUGUAUAUCACAUUUGUUUGUCCAAAACAAAUUACCGAUAUAAAUACUGUAUGUUUGCCGUUGCACUUUCACAUACAAUUAUUAAAAGUUGUUUUUAUUUUAA